rnacentral:tRNA from 1 species
GGCAGUGUAGUCUAAUGGCUAAGGAAGUUGGUCUUGUAACCUAAAGGUCACAGGUUCGAUUCCCGGUAGGACACUGCCG